rnacentral:rRNA from 1 species
UAAACGACUCUCGGCAACGGAUAUCUCGGCUCACGCAUCGAUGAAGAACGUAGCAAAAUGCGAUACUUGGUGUGAAUUGCAGAAUCCCGUGAACCAUCGAGUUUUUGAACGCAAGUUGCGCCCGAAGCCUUCUGGYUGAGGGCACGUCUGCCUGGGCGUCACGC